rnacentral:rRNA from 1 species
UACAGAGGUCUCAAGCGUUGUUCGGAUUCAUUGGGCGUAAAGGGUGCGUAGGUGGUGAUGCAAGUCUGGUGUGAAAUCUCGGAGCUCAACUCCGAAAUUGCACCGGAUACUGCGUGACUCGAGGACUGUAGAGGAGAUCGGAAUUCACGGUGUAGCAGUGAAAUGCGUAGAUAUCGGGAAGAACACCGGUGGCGAAGGCGGCUCUCUGGACCUGUCCUGACGCUCAGGCGCGAAAGCUAGGGUAGCGAACGGG